rnacentral:lncRNA from 1 species
AUUGAAACGUUCCCAGAUGAACAGAACUGUUACUGUCCUGGUCAGCGAGACUAAUCCCCAUUGUUCCCUCACAGUGAGUUGCUUUAAAGGGGCUCCUAUGCAUCAGAGAAACUGAGCUCUAACCAAGAGGACAAGCACAGCUCAAAUACAGAGGAAUUCAAAGGCUGUUUUCCUUCUUCCUGUUGUUUUGCUCUUUAGACAGAGUCUCACCGUGUUGUCUAGACUGACCCUGGGUCUGUGGGCUCAAGCAAGGUCUGCACCACUGAGCUUUACCUCAACGUAGGAUAAUCCAAUUCUGUUUCCCUUUCCCAACUGCUUUGUUGGCAUUUAAAAGUAAAUAAAUAAAAACUUUGGAAAAGGCGUGUUAACUUUUGUAGGCCACAGUAACACUGUUAGGAAUGUGUCUACGGUUUCUGCUUGUGUUGGCUUUCCCAUUGUCUUUCUGUUCUGCAGCUUUCUGUUUCUUUGGAUAGGAUCCAUUACUAUACUUUGCAUAUUCUUUGGUGGAAUAUAAACACUAAUAACAGAAAGUCUUUGCAGAAUUUUCCUAGUAACCGGGAUAGCUUGUUCAUUGUACCUCUAUUCACAUUUUAGUUUUUUUUUUUUUUUAAGACCCAUAACUUGAGAAUUCUAAGGAGUCAAGGGUGUAAAUGUCUGGAACAAACUCAUACUUUAGCAGUUCAGAGUAAUUUUCAUCCUUGGGUACUGGGGAGGGGAGGAGAGUGGGUGUUGUCCAUCAAGAAGGCCAGGCUCAUUGUAUGCACUGGAGUCUAUUGAACAAAAGUAUCAGUGUCUAAUCUGACACUGACAUAUAUGUACGUGUGUAAAUACUGGGUAUAAAUAUCAAGUUCAGAUAUAGACAGCCUAUUUCUGUAAAAAAC